CUAAGAAUCUUCCGCAAUGGGCGAAAGCCUGACGGAGCGAUGCCGCGUGAUCGAUGAAGGUCGAGAGAUUGUAAAGAUCUUUUCCGCAUGAGGAAUAAGCCUAGGAGGGAAUGCCUGGGUGAUGACGUUAGUGCGGGAAUAAGCCCCGGCUAAUUACGUGCCAGCAGCCGCGGUAACACGUAAGGGGCGAGCGUUGUUCGGAAUUAUUGGGCGUAAAGGGCACGCAGGCGGUUAUGCAAGUCUGAUGUGAAAUCUCCGGGCUCAACUCGGAAUCCGCGUUGGAAACUGCAUGACUAGAGUAUCAGAGGGGGAGUCGGAAUUCCUAGUGUAGGGGUGAAAUCUGUUGAUAUUAGGAAGAACACCGGUGGCGAAGGCGGACUCCUGGCUGGAUACUGACGCU
rnacentral:rRNA from 1 species